rnacentral:rRNA from 1 species
GAUGAACGCUGGCGGCGUGCUUAACACAUGCAAGUCGAACGAAGCACUUUAUUUGAUUUCCUUCGGGACUGAUUAUUUUGUGACUGAGUGGCGGACGGGUGAGUAACGCGUGGGUAACCUGCCUUGUACAGGGGGAUAACAGUUGGAAACGGCUGCUAAUACCGCAUAAGCGCCCAGCAUCGCAUGAUGCAGUGUGAAAAACUCCGGUGGUAUAAGAUGGACCCGCGUUGGAUUAGCUAGUUGGUGAGGUAACGGCCCACCAAGGCGACGAUCCAUAGCCGACCUGAGAGGGUGACCGGCCACAUUGGGACUGAGACACGGCCCAACCUCCUACGGGAGGCAGCAGUGGGGAAUAUUGCACAAUGGGCGAAAGCCUGAUGCAGCGACGCCGCGUGAGCGAAGAAGUAUUUCGGUAUGUAAAGCUCUAUCAGCAGGGAAGAUAAUGACGGUACCUGACUAAGAAGCACCGGCUAAAUACGUG